UUUUCUGAGGACAAAAAUCCAUAAAACAAGAAAUAAAAUUGGUCUAGCCUAACGAAUAUUUGGCUCAUUCUUCAAAAUUGAGGAAUUUGACACCUUCACCAGACUGGUGUACUCUGCUAGCUUUGUUGUGUGCUUGAUGUAGACAUAUGUGAGUGAGUGAGUGAGUGUGUGAGUGAGUGAGUAUGUGAGUGAGUGAGUGAGUGU